rnacentral:lncRNA from 1 species
CCGUCUUCCCCAAAUACUUUAUAAACUCCGUCAGCGUCGCCCACUCCGUCGAGUUCAUAUGCACAUGGUGCCUAUCGUUAAUGUACUCGUUGUACACCACGGUGGCGGCGAUGCGAGAGAAACGGUGGCUCCGCCGCAUGAGGUCGAGGAAGGUCUUCUCGAACUCCUCGGAGUAGCCCUGGAGGACGCGCCUCUGGUUCUGGCCGAAGACCUGCAUCUGGCGCUGGUGAGACUCGCUCAUGCAGUGGCACUUGAACCCGUUCUCGUCGCGGCACUGCUUCUGGCACAUCUGGCAGUACCACCGGAGCUUCUGGAGGCCUUUCGCCUUCAUGCGGUUCGCGAUCGCCUUCGGGGUGAGGAAAUCGUUCUUGCCCAUCGUCGAAUCGAAUCGAAUUAGGGUUCUUGGGGGAUUGGAAUCAGAGAGCAGAAACGACGUGACUGGUCGAGGUUUCGCGAAGAAUCGAUUUUUCUUUCUUGUCGAUGAAUUGAAGAGAGACGGAUGAUUAGCGAAACUCACUAAUGGGCCUAUAUAAUAUGUAGUAGAGGCUACACAUUGGCCCAUAUGUGGUUCAGUUUCAUCUAUAGUUUGUUGUGUACGGGUAAUUUGUUUCAAACCCAACUUUUACUCGGAUACCCAUCCAAUACAGUUUGAAUUGGUUGCUUUUGGUCAAACAUUUUGUAUUCAAUGCGUCUAAAUUUACCCAAAAUAAUAUACGGCUUGAAUCCUUUGUAAAAGCAAAAUCAAAGAUCACAGGGUUUCUUAAAGAUAAUACAUUAGUCUCACUUACAACGGCACUGAGUAAACCAAUGAAAAUCAAAGACAAACCAGUCAAGAACAUGUCAUGAAACAGAAUCUCAUCUGCAGUAACCUUCGGUGACUCAUGAAACGAUCCAUCAGGGAUCAUUAUGCAGUCAAACCCCAUCAUCUUCUACCCUCUACGAUGCAACCAUGUUCUCUUGGCUGGACAAAAGAGAAUGAAAGGAAUAACAAAAGCCAGAAUCUUGUGUAUCAUUCUGUUUUAUCAUAAGAGUGAGUUGUCUGAAACGCACUUGCAGACACAAAGAAAGGGUUCAAAGUAGAAACACAAGGUACGCUGAUAUAAUGGUCUAAAGAUAUAGUAACUAAGCUAGUUUGCAUAUAUCCUCAUACUCAAUAGACUUGAUGACUCUCCCUUCAUAAACACCUUUCUCAAUCUGCACUUUAGCACAGAACUUCUCCGUAUCCACGCCCAACAACUUCGCAACUGAACCGCGAUACGCCCCAUUCACAAUCUUCACCAACCCUCCAAUCUGCGGAAUCACAGUCUCAAGCUCCUCCUGAUCAACUCGCAGCACAUGCUUAGAAUCAAUCAUCUCAAUCUCCCCGACAUAGUCAUCAAUCACUUUCCUCACCACACCCUUCUGCUUAUAAUACCCUUUAUCCGCCAGAGCUUUACUCAUCACCUUCACAACAAUCCCUUGGAACAGCCAGUAAGGCUUGCGAUUCAUCCUCUCCUUCUUCCUCUCUUCCUCCUUCAUCAACUCAUCCAAAGCAGACCUUCUCUCCUUCUCCAAGUCUCCACCUUUUCUCCUCUUCUUCUUCUCCUCUCUCUCAUUCUCUUCCUCCUCAAACACACGCCUCGAGCUCUCACCCGUAGUAACAACCUGUUUAGCCCCUCCACCGAGUGAAAACCCAACCUUGACAACACCACUCUUCAACCCAAAGUCUUCACCUUUCUUCUUCUCAUCAUCAUCUUUACCACUACCUUCACCUUCCUUGGCUCUCUCAAUCUGUCUCCGAAUCUCCCUCUCCUGCUUCUCCUCCUCAGCCAAAUCACUCUUCACCCUCUUAUUCUUCAACCUCUCUUUAAAAAUAGUCUCCGAAUCUCUAUCAAUAUAAGUAAUGAACCACCCUUUAGGCGUCUCCUCGACCUUACACUUCCCCGUCUUCCCCAAAUACUUUAUAAACUCCGUCAGCGUCGCCCACUCCGUCGAGUUCAUAUGCACAUGGUGCCUAUCGUUAAUGUACUCGUUGUACACCACGGUGGCGGCGAUGCGAGAGAAACGGUGGCUCCGCCGCAUGAGGUCGAGGAAGGUCUUCUCGAACUCCUCGGAGUAGCCCUGGAGGACGCGCCUCUGGUUCUGGCCGAAGACCUGCAUCUGGCGCUGGUGAGACUCGCUCAUGCAGUGGCACUUGAACCCGUUCUCGUCGCGGCACUGCUUCUGGC